AGAGGAAGUAAAAGUCGUAACAAGGUUUCCGUAGGUGAACCUGCGGAGGAUCAUUAUUGAAUACUCUUGAUGAGUUGUAGCUGGCUCUCCGGGGCAUGUGCACGCUUGUCUUGAUUUUAUUCAUCCACCUGUGCACCUUUUGUAGUCUUGGGGGUUGAAAGCAGUCGACUAUCGGAUGGCUAUGGCUUUUCCGGAUGUGAGAAAUGCUGAGUGCAUAGACGCAUACAGCUCUUCUCAAAUGACUUGCAUACCCUUGAGUACUAUGUAUUCAUAUACCACGUCGUAUGUUGUAGAAUGUGAUCAAUGGGUCUAUGUACCUAUAAUAAUCAUAUACAACUUUCAGCAACGGAUCUCUUGGCUCUCGCAUCGAUGAAGAACGCAGCGAAAUGCGAUAAGUAAUGUGAAUUGCAGAAUUCAGUGAAUCAUCGAAUCUUUGAACGCACCUUGCGCUCCUUGGUAUUCCGAGGAGCAUGCCUGUUUGAGUGUCAUUAAAUUCUCAACCCCUCCAGUUGUGAUGGGGCUUGGAUAUGGGAGUUUGCGGGUCCUUUAUCAGUAAAGGUCAGCUCUCCUGAAAUACAUUAGCGGAACCGUUUGCAGUCCCGUCACUAGUGUGAUAAUUAUCUACACUGUGAUGAUUGCUCUCUGACUAGUUCAGCUGCUAAUCGUCCGUUACGGACAAUGUUUAAUGAACUUCUUGACCUCAAAUCAGGUAGGACUACCCGCUGAACUUAAGCAUAUCAAUAAGCGGAGGAAAAGAAACUAACAAGGAUUCCCCUAGUAACUGCGAGUGAAGCGGGAAAAGCUCAAAUUUAAAAUCUGGCAGUCUUUGGCUGUCCGAGUUGUAAUCUAGAGAAGUGAUGCCCGCGCUGGACCGUGUA
rnacentral:rRNA from 1 species